GGCAGCAGUGGGGAAUAUUGGACAAUGGGCGAAAGCCUGAUCCAGCCAUGCCGCGUGUGUGAAGAAGGUCUUCGGAUUGUAAAGCACUUUAAGUUGGGAGGAAGGGCAGUAAGUUAAUACCUUGCUGUUUUGACGUUACCAACAGAAUAAGCACCGGCUAACUUCGUGCCAGCAGCCGCGGUAAUACGAAGGGUGCAAGCGUUAAUCGGAAUUACUGGGCGUAAAGCGCGCGUAGGUGGUUCAGCAAGUUGGAUGUGAAAUCCCCGGGCUCAACCUGGGAACUGCAUCCAAAACUACUGAGCUAGAGUACGGUAGAGGGUGGUGGAAUUUCCUGUGUAGCGGUGAAAUGCGUAGAUAUAGGAAGGAACACCAGUGGCGAAGGCGACCACCUGGACUGAU
rnacentral:rRNA from 1 species